AUUGAACGCUGGCGGCAGGCCUAACACAUGCAAGUCGAGCGGAGCGGCGGACGGGUGAGUAAUGCCUAGGAAUCUGCCUGGUAGUGGGGGAUAACGUCCGGAAACGGGCGCUAAUACCGCAUACUAUCAGAUGAGCCUAGGUCGGAUUAGCUAGUUGGUGGGGUAAAGGCCUACCAAGGCGACGAUCCGUAACUGGUCUGAGAGGAUGAUCAGUCCCACUGGAACUGAGACACGGUGCUGACGCGGACGGGAGGCAGCAGUGAGGAAUAUUGGUCAAUGGAGGAAACUCUGAGCCAGCCAAGUCGCGUGAAGUAAGAAUGCCUAAGGAUGGUAAACUUCUUUAGCUAGCGAGUAAGUAGCUCGAGAAUAAGUAUCGGCUAACUCCGUGCCAGCAGCCGCGGUAAUAC
rnacentral:rRNA from 1 species